rnacentral:rRNA from 1 species
AACGAACGCUGGCGGCGUGCCUAACACAUGCAAGUCGAACGGAUUGAAGGGGCUUGCUCCUUCAGUUAGUGGCGCACGGGUGAGUAACGCGUAGAUAAUCUGCCUGAUGAUCUGGGAUAACAGUUCGAAAGGACUGCUAAUACCGGAUAAGCCCACGUGGUCUUUGGAUCGUGCGGGAAAAGGGGGGACCUUCGGGCCUUCUGUCAUCAGAUGAGUCUGCGUACCAUUAGCUAGUUGGUAGGGUAAAGGCCUACCAAGGCUACGAUGGUUAGCUGGUCUGAGAGGAUGAUCAGCCACACUGGAACUGAGACACGGUCCAGACUCCUACGGGUGGCUG